CUGCCGGCUCCCGCGCCCCGCGCCCCGCGCCCCGCCCGCGGACGCAGCUCGGCCCUGCCGGCUCACCCUAGCUUGACUCCCCGCGAGGGCUGUGGGGAGGGGGCGAGGAGGAGGAGCCGAGGAGGAGCGACGGGGAGGAAGUUCACAGGAUCAGAAAAUGCUGUGUUGAGAGGCGCAGAGGUCAACUGGACCACCUCCCUUAGAUCUCCCUGAGGUUGCAGACCAAAUGAACUCUCUGGCUGCUGCUUUGUCUCCCCACAGCUGGCUCCGGAGGGAGCAGGGUGCAUCACACCCGCUUUCCCACAUCUUCACGCUGAGCUGAGCUGCUCAGCCCUGUGGGUGGAGCUGCAGCAGGUGCUGCCAGGGCCAGUCCCUGAGUCAUCAAACCUGCUGGCUCUUGUACCACAUCUCCUUCCAUCUCGUGUUCAUGUCCAAGCCCUCAUCCAUGCAGUCUCGACCCGGCAUUUACUUACAGCCAGGCUCUCCUGCCUCCACCAUCACCAGGCUAAUCUUUCUAAACCCAGGUAUGGCCAAGUUACAUCCCUACUGAGAAGCCUUUGAUAGGGCUCCUUAGCCUAAUGUCCCAGCUCUCAGUGUGACAUUUCAAACCUUCCCCAGUUGAACUCCGUCUUUCUAGACAUCACUCACUCCCACUGCCACUGCAGGCCUGUCUGCUGCCACACCAAUCUGUUCUCUGCACUCAGACCUCCUACACAUUCCCAGUACGGUGUCUCUGCCCACAGUGUUCUCCCUGUCUAGACAAUCUCACUCUCUCUUCCUGCUUCUCAGAAUUGUUUGUUCUUCAGUGCCCAUCUGUACUUCUCCCUCCCAGCUUGACCCCUUGCUCAGAGGACGACUCCUUCAGCUGAAGCCUGUGGCCACACAGCCUGUGUGCUCUCCUGGCUUUUAUCCCAUCCCAUGUUGGGUGCAGGUACCUUUCCAUAUUUCUGAACCAAAGUCCUCUCUGGAAACCCCAAGGUAUUGCUUUGAGUCAGGUAUCCAUCACAGCUUGAUCGAUUCUUGCCUAUUUGGAUAAAUCCUCCUUCACGAAUACUGUCUACUGGCUAACCUUUUCCAGGUGACCUGCCUCCAGUUAAAACAUGUGUGGUCACUAAUGGUGUGUCCCAAACCACCCACUACAUGGUCUACCUGGUUGCAGAGAAGUUCAUUAUAAAAGAGCCCGUGGUGAGCUGGGGAGGGGCUUUUAGGGAUUGGAUCCCUUCAUUUGCUUAGCUUUCUUGGAACUGCUGAUUCCUAACAGAUCACACUGUAGUGUGAUUUCCUGUUUACCUGUACAUCUCCCUCAUGACGUCGUAGGCUUGGGAGGUGGGCUGGUGUCUGCUUGUUCUCUAUCUCCAGUGUCUACACAGUGCCUGGCACAUGGUAGAUGUUCAACAAAUAUUUCUUGAAAGACAGAAAAGGGAAUGCCCCCUUCCCACAUAUUUAUUUAUAAAUUAUUUAUUUAUUUGGUUGCGGCAAGUGCGCUCCUUAGUUGUGACUCUCAGGCUCCUUAGUUGUGGCAUGUGUGCUCCUUAGUUGUGGCAUGUGUGUUCCUUAGUUGAGGCCAGUGGGCUCCUUAGUUGUGGCUUAUGGGCUCCUUAGUUGCGGCUUGCUGGUUCCUUAGUUGUGGCACGUGGGCUCCUUAGUUGCAGUAGGUGGGCUACUUAGUUGCAGCUCGCCGGCUCCUUAGUCAUGGCAUGAGAACUCUUAGUUGUGGCAUGCAUGUGGGAUCUAGUUCCCUGACCAGGGAUCAAACCCCAGCCUCCUGCCUUGGGAGCAUGGAGUCUUAACCACUGCUCCAUCAGGGAAGUCCCCCUUCCCACAUGUUUAGUAUUUAAAUUUAGUAUUCUAAAUUUCUUCGCCCACUUCCUGGGCCCUGCAAGUUGCCCCAUGCUCCAAGCUCUGGAAAGCCCCUUCCCUUCCUCACGCUGUAAUGUCUGAGUGUCUGGAGGCCCUGGUUUGGUGCUGCUUCUCUUUCAGCCAGGGUUACGGAGCCCACACCCAGACACAUCCACCCUCAGACUUACUUACAAAUCCCAGCUAGAAUGAGGAACAGUUGCUUCAGGGUCUGGGCAGGGCUUCAGGGUGACAGACACAUUUUGCCCACCAAGCACGCCUGCCACCCCUUCCUCCCGCUAAUGGUGACGAGGAUUCCCCAAGGUGCACACCGGAUCACACAGGUGAGGCCGGGGAAGAGAGAUUUCCAAGCCCACACUCCCUCUAAGAAUGCCUCUUAUGCCUACAUAUACAAAAUCAUCAGUUUUGAAAUGGCUUCUUCCCUAAGAUCAUAAGAAGGGGUUUCUGGGGAUGCUGGCAAUGUCCUGCUGCUUGACCCGGGUGCUGGUUACAGGAUAUUUGCCUCAUAAUAAUUCAUUAAGCCAUACACUUUUCUGAAUGUGUGUUACAUUUCACAGUAAAAAAGAAAGUACCACACACACACCCGCCCCAGCCUCAGGGCCUUAAUCCAAUCAAUUCAUGUUUAACCAGUGCCU